UUACCUGCAAAUGUUCAAAAGCUCUUCACAACCAGAGAAGGAGGUUAUAACCUGAGGGGCUGUGGUAACUUUAAGGUCCAUCCUGUAAGGACCACGAGGAAAAGUUUGUGUGUGUCUGUGUGUGGUGUUAAACUUUGGAACCGACUGGGGCUACAACUUAGGCAGUGUUCAAAUAUCCGUCACUUUAAAUCAAAAUAUAAGGAAAUGGUUUGGUCACAAUAUAUGGGUGUUGCUAGGGGAUGGGAGGGGUGAGGCAAUAUAAUAUAAUUAUCAUAUACUAUAAUA